CAAUAAGCGGAGGAAAAGAAACUAACAAGGAUUCCCCUAGUAACUGCGAGUGAAGAGGGAAAAGCUCAAAUUUAAAAUCUGGCAGCUUCGCUGUCCGAGUUGUAAUUUAGAGAAGUGUUACCCGCGUUGGACCGUGUACAAGUCUCCUGGAACGGAGCGUCAUAGAGGGUGAGAAUCCCGUCUUUGACACGGACUACCAAGGCUUUGUGGUACGCUCUCGAAGAGUCGAGUUGUUUGGGAAUGCAGCUCUAAAUGGGUGGUAAAUUCCAUCUAAAGCUAAAUAUUGGCGAGAGACCGAUAGCAAACAAGUACCGUGAGGGAAAGAUGAAAAGAACUUUGGAAAGAGAGUUAAACAGUACGUGAAAUUGUUGAAAGGGAAACGCUUAAAGUCCAGUCGCGUUGGUUAGGAAUCAGCCUUGGUUUUCCUUGGUGUACUUCCUAAUCGACGGGUCAACAUCAGUUUUGACCGUUGGAUAAAGGUUGAGGGAAUGUGGCACCUUCGGGUGUGUUAUAGCCCUUGAUUGUAUACAGCGGUUGGGACUGAGGAACUCAGCACGCCGAAAGGCCGGGUCUUGUACCACGUUCGUGCUUAGGAUGUUGGCAUAAUGGCUUUAAUCGACCCGUCUUGAAACACGGACCAAGGAGUCUAACAUGCCUGCGAGUGUUUGGGUGGAAAACCCGAGCGCGUAAUGAAAGUGAAAGUUGAGAACUCUUAGAGUGCAUCGACGCCCGGAGCAGACCUUCUGUGACGCAUCCGCGGUAGAGCAUGUAUGUUGGGACCCGAAAGAUGGUGAACUAUGCCUGAAUAGGGUGAAGCCAGAGGAAACUCUGGUGGAGGCUCGUAGCGAUUCUGACGUGCAAAUCGAUCGUCGAAUUUGGGUAUAGGG
rnacentral:rRNA from 1 species